rnacentral:rRNA from 1 species
AGUGAACGCUGGCGGUAGGCCUAACACAUGCAAGUCGAACGGCAGCACAGGAGAGCUUGCUCUCUGGGUGGCGAGUGGCGGACGGGUGAGGAAUACAUCGGAAUCUACUUUUUCGUGGGGGAUAACGUAGGGAAACUUACGCUAAUACCGCAUACGACCUACGGGUGAAAGCAGGGGACCUUCGGGCCUUGCGCGAUUGAAUGAGCCGAUGUCGGAUUAGCUAGUUGGCGGGGUAAAGGCCCACCAAGGCGACGAUCCGUAGCUGGUCUGAGAGGAUGAUCAGCCACACGGGAACUGAAACACGGUCCAGACUCCUACGGGAGGCAGGAGUGGGAAAUAUUGGACAAUGGUCGCAAGCCUGAUCCAGCCAUACCGCGUGGGUGAAGAAGGCCUUCGGGUUGUAAAGCCCUUUUGUUGGGAAAGAAAUCCAGCCGGCUAAUACCUGGUUGGGAUGACGGUACCCAAAGAAUAAGCACCGGCUAACUUCGUGCCAGCCGCCGCUGUAACAC